UUGAAAGGGAAACGAUUGAAGUCAGUCAUACCAACGGGAAAUCAACCUUUUGAGCUUGGUCUCGUGGGUUUUGAAGAGUUUCAAAGCCUUCGGAUUCGCGGGAUUGGGAUCUCUCGGUGUACUUUUUCGUACGGUUAGUCAACAUCGGUUUUGAAUGUCAUAAAAUGACUGGAGGAAUGUAGCUUCGAUCUCGUAUUGAAGUGUUAUAGCCUUUGGUAGAUGUGGUGUUUGGGACUGAGGAUUGCAACGAAUAUCCUUUGGGCUAUCCGUCUGAUCUCUGAAAGUUGCUUAGGUGCCGAAAGCGUGCUUACGGUUAUUUAAGUUGACGGUCAAAAGGUUAGAACGUGAUUACAUUCGUUAAGGAUGUUGACGUA
rnacentral:rRNA from 1 species